rnacentral:rRNA from 1 species
UGGGGAAUCUUGCGCAAUGCGCGACAGCGUGACGCAGCAACACCGCGUGGGGGAAGACGGCCUUCGGGUUGUAAACCCCUUUCAGGAGGGACGAAGGCCGGCCGGUGAAUAGCCGUGCCGGUUGACGGUACCUCCACAAGAAGCCCCGGCUAACUACGUGCCAGCAGCCGCGGUAAUACGUAGGGGGCAAGCGUUGUCCGGAAUCAUUGGGCGUAAAGCGCGCGUAGGCGGCCCGAUAAGUCCGCUGUAAAAGUCAACGGCUCAACUGUUGAAAGCCGGUGGAUACUGUCGGGCUAGAGUCCGGAAGAGGCAAGUGGAAUUCCUGGUGUAGCGGUGGAAUGCGCAGAUAUCAGGAGGAACACCUAUAGCGAAGGCAGCUUGCUGGGACGGUACUGACGCUAAGGCGCGAAAGCGUGGGGAGCGAACAGGAUUAGAUACCCUGGUAGUCCACGCCGUAAACGAUGAGAACUAGGUGUGGGAGGUGUCGACUCCUCCCGUGCCGUCGCUAACG